rnacentral:lncRNA from 1 species
GUUAGGGUAAAAGGAGAGCAAAGGACUCACUCUGCUCUAAUGCAAGCCUUUGCCUGCACAUGGUGUUUAUGUUCGACCUGCAAACCCUGUAUCAUUCAGAUCUCCCAUACUUGAUAAGACUUUUUCCCUGUAAGAUACAAUCACCUAUGUAAUGGACUCAGGACUAUGCAGAUCAUUGCAUCCAUGAACUUCCUACAGUCUCAAGGAACUUAUGUAUUUAAUUUUUUAUGCCUGCUGUGAACAUUUCUAUUUUUAGGGUUAAAAAAAAAAAAAAGAAAGAAGACACAUAACAGAGUUGGAAUGAGCACAACAGAUUUACUUGUUCAAACACACAAUGGUGGAAUUUCUCAUUCACCUGAGGCACAUAGCUGGUUUUUGUCUGGUUUGACUUCUUUUGCUCCUUAAGGCUUGCACCAAUACUUCUGCAACUGCUCCUCUUGGUUUUAUAGAAAUGGGCAUAGAAUAAAGCCCAAAAGUUAAUCCUCACAGCUGCUGGCUGCAAUUUUAGUUGUAUGUCAAUAAAAGAAACAAGAUCCUAGGACAUGCAAGGCUGCUGCCCUGAGGCAAAAUAUAAAGGUAUUCUCCCUGAGAUGACUACUGAUAUCUAAAAACCCAGAUAGGCAGGCACUCUGGUGGCAUCUAGUGCAGAAGUGAAACACUCAGAUGGAGAAACCAAUGAGCAGGCUUAAACAUGCCCAAUCUACAGUCACCCCAUACAGUAUUUGGAGUGCUGCUGGUAACAACAGACUCGCCAGGAAGUUGAAAUCAUUGCAAAUGUUGUAUUUUAUGUUGUGAAAAAACCUGUUCAAAACACCUCUGUUGAGUGACAGGAUUGCAGCCUAGAAGCUGCAGAUGAGGCAAGAGGGACAGCAGGGCUCCCUCUCCUCUUACACAGUGCCAGCCUGCUGUAGCAGCCUUGUUCAGGGGUUACCCCUGCCCACGUAUCUUGUGAGGAACCGCUGGGGAGGCUCCUGGGAAGGGCCACAGCAGAGGCACAGUGGGAUGGAGACAAAAUGCAGCUCUGGGGAGCCAGCUGUAAUGCCACUGCUUCCCCAUGUGUCUAAGAAGAAAGGCUCUGAAGUCUGUCCUCUGUGGGAGUGAGUGACCUUAUCUGCUCCAUCUGGUGCAUCGUUGGCAGGCACCACGGU